CAGCAGUCGCCGCGGUAAUACGUAGGUGGCAAGCGUUGUCCGGAAUUAUUGGGCGUGAAGCGCGCGCAGGUGGUUUAAUAAGUCUGAUGUGAAAGCCCACGGCUCAACCGUGGAGGGUCAUUGGAAACUGUUAAACUUGAGUGCAGGAGAGAAAAGUGGAAUUCCUAGUGUAGCGGUGAAAUGCGUAGAGAUUAGGAGGAACACCAGUGGCGAAGGCGGCUUUUUGGCCUGUAACUGACACUGAGGCGCGAAAGCGUGGGGAGCAAACAGGAUUAGAUACCCCCGUAGUCCCUGUCUCUUAUAC
rnacentral:rRNA from 1 species